ensembl:lncRNA
AAAAAAAAACUAAUACAUUCUGAAAAUUUUCCAAUUUAAACUCAGUUAAUUAAAUUCCAAAUUACUGUAUUACAAUAACAUAUAUAUAUAUAUAUAUAUAUAUAUAUAUAUAUAUAUAUAUAUAUAUAUAUAUAUAUAUAUAUAUAGGCCUAAUUAUAUUCAGAAAAUGUAUUUAUAGGCCUCACUAUUCACUGUACUCAGUACUUCAAUAAUAGCUUGACUGUACAUCAACUCAUCUAACAGCAGAUGUUACUGUUGCGCAAAUCAUAGAAAAGACUCCCAUAUUCAAGACUGAAACACUUUUUCUCAUUCGAAAUAACAUGUCAUUCGUAAUAGUUCUUCGAUCAGGGACAUUUUUAAAUUGCCAAAUCAGGAUUCAUUUGAAGGAAUUCAAUUCCAUCGAACUCCUGCAACUAAAACAUCUUGGAAAGCAUUAUGCACCUGUCGAGAGCCGCAGGUAAAGCCAGUACUGUCUCAUCUAGGCUAUUCAUUUUAGGGGUGUGGUCUAAUUAAGGUAAAAAAAAAAAAAGAUAAUUCUAUAAUGCUUACCUCCUGCAUUACAACAUCUACAAGGACAUUAUUAUGCGGAUGGUUUACUGUAUUUACAGCGGCGUUUCGCGAUCAAAGCACCAAAUAACUUUCUGUUCCUCUCGCGAUAACACACUUCUGACGACAGACACCUCACAAUUGCCGCGAAUAAGAUAUUAUGUGAAAAAGUGACAGAUAACGUACAUGUUGAGGUAGUCUGCCUACAGACGAAACAAGAAAUCGAGUCAAACAUUAAAAUAGAGAUUAAAGGCGCAGCUGGUUAAAGUUAUGAAACCCGUGUACCGUCAUUAAAACCAACCAAAAUGCAGAAAACGCUAUGACAACAAUCUACUGUAAUUUAAGGCCCAUCCACCACACUAACAGAAGAGUGCGGAAGAUAAAUGACCGAACCGUGCCAAAGGGACCGCAGCUCGCCGAACAUAGGCACCCUAAAUUCAUUACAGCAAUUUCCUCUUGUCCUACUCUCCAAAAGAGAAUGAGAGGGAGAAUAAAGGAAUGACGAUGAAGAGAAACAGUCAGAUGGUCUUUGUAAAUAAGAGAAAAAAAAGAAAGAAAGAACAGACGCGAGAAGGAGCAUGUGGACUUGAGCGCAUUCAAAAAUAGAAAAGCUUGUUUAACCAGUUUGUUGGAUUUUCCCCCUGAAUGGAUGUAAACUAACCUACUGACUUUGUAUAAAUCAUAAUAAGUUUUGCAAAUUAUGAUUUUUUUUUUGAUGAUUUCUGUAAAAUUAUAUUUCAUAAGUAAAAAACUAAAAGGAAAAAAAUGGUAAAGACAACAUGAAAUCACAAUUGAUAAUUUAUACAUGGACUUUUUUAAUUUUUUUUUAAAAAAAAUGUUCUGUAAGUUUUUAAUCAAAAUGUAAUAAUUUU